UUGUGCCACUGAGCUAUAUCCCUGGCCCGACCCUUGAGAUUUUAAAAUUCAAUAGUUGGUUCACCUCCACUGACCAACCAGAAACACUGACUCAGGACACUUCAAGGAUGUCACUUGGAUACAGUUUCCAUACCAAUUGUCUUCCUUGGGCCGACCUGUUUCCUGGAUUGGCCUCUCACAGUAACAUCUCUGGAGUUUAUUUUCUUCCAAUUUGAUGGAGUGAAAAAGUUUGUUAAGUGCUUUUGUAUGUUUUGAGGAAACCAAAAAGUGCCACACAGUCUCAGCACAGAAGACUCUACACUGCAGAUCAGCAGCUCAUGCCUCUCCGUGAAGUAGCAUGUUCAAGAUAUUGAGCAGCGUCUCACUAUGUGUUCCACAUAGACCCUGAGCACACAGCCCUCCUGCCUCGGCCUCCUGAGUGGUGGGACUCCAGGUGUGUCGCCACAUUUGACUUUGAAACUCCAUUUUUCAAAUCAAUGCUACUUACUCUUAAAUUCUUAAGGCUUGAAGUAAAACAACAACAACAACAGCAGCAGCAGCAACAACAACAACAACAGAUUGAGCUUGUGCUGUUCUUCUGCGAACUGAAUCUUUCACCUGUGAAUGGGCCAUUAUAUUUCUACCAAGAGAAGGCCAAGUUGAGCCAGAGCCUUUCUCCUUUAGAUUCACAAAUUCCACAGAUCUCAACCCAACAAAACAUAUAAAUAUAUCCAACCCCAGACCAUAAGAUUAGAUAUGUGGAACUUGCUUUGUUAUUUCACAAGUUCUGGGUCAAGAGGAGAUAUGUCUACAGCUGAUGUGGAUCAUGAUGUGGACUUCAAGGCUGAUGCUACGAUUGGACUAGACUUGGAAUGUCUUGGA